UACGGAGGAUGCAAGCGUUAUCCGGAAUGAUUGGGCGUAAAGCGUCCGCAGGUGGCAAUGUAAGUCUGCUGUUAAAGAGUGAGGCUCAACCUCAUAAGAGCAGUGGAAACUACAUAGCUAGAGUACGUUCGGGGCAGAGGGAAUUCCUGGUGUAGCGGUGAAAUGCGUAGAGAUCAGGAAGAACACCGGUGGCGAAGGCGCUCUGCUAGGCCGUAACUGACACUGAUGGACGAAAGCGUGGGUAGCCAAAGGG
rnacentral:rRNA from 1 species